rnacentral:rRNA from 1 species
GACUCCUACGGGAGGCAGCAGUGGGGAAUAUUGCACAAUGGGUGGAAGCCUGAUGCAGCAACGCCGUGUGCGGGAUGACGGCCUUCGGGUUGUAAACCGCUUUCGCUCAUGACGAAGCUUUGUGUGACGGUAGUGGGUAAAGAAGCACCGGCUAACUACGUGCCAGCAGCCGCGGUGAUACGUAGGGUGCGAGCGUUGUCCGGAUUUAUUGGGCGUAAAGGGCUCGUAGGUGGUUGAUCGCGUCGGAAGUGUAAUCUUGGGGCUUAACCCUGAGCGUGCUUUUGAUACGGGUUGACUUGAGGAAGGUAGGGGAGAAUGGAAUUCCUGGUGGAGCGGUGGAAUGCGCAGAUAUCAGGAGGAACACCGGUGGCGAAGGCGGUUCUCUGGGCCUUUCCUGACGCUGAGGAGCGAAAGCGUGGGGAGCGAACAGGCUUAGAUACCCUGGUAGUCCAC